GAUGAACGCUGGCGGCGUGCCUAAUACAUGCCAGUCGAGCGAACAGACGAGGAGCUUGCUCCUCUGACGUUAGCGGCGGACGGGUGAGUAACACGUGGAUAACCUACCUAUAAGACUGGGAUAACUUCGGGAAACCGGAGCUAAUACCGGAUAAUAUAUUGAACCGCAUGGUUCAAUAGUGAAAGACGGUUUUGCUGUCACUUAUAGACGGAUCCGCGCCGCAUUAGCUAGUUGGUAAGGUAACGGCUUACCAAGGCAACGAUGCGUAGCCGACCUGAGAGGUUGAUCGGCCACACUGGAACUGAGACACGGUCCAGACUCCUACGGGAGGCAGCAGUAGGGAAUCUUCCGCAAUGGGCGAAAGCCUGACGGAGCAACGCCGCGUGAGUGAUGAAGGUCUUCGGAUCGUAAAACUCUGUUAUUAGGGAAGAACAAAUGUGUAAGUAACUAUGCACGUCUUGACGGUACCUAAUCAGAAAGCCACGGCUAACUACGUG
rnacentral:rRNA from 1 species